AGGGUUUGAUCCUGGCUCAGAACGAACGCUGGCGGCGUGGCUAAGACAUGCAAGUCGAACGGACUGGUCAAUUUAUUGAACAGUUAGUGGCGAAAGGGUUAGUAACGGAUGGGUAACAUACCCUGUGCUUUGGGAUAGCGCCAGUUGCCUUCGGGCAACUUUCCGAAAGGGGCGGUAAUACCAGAUAAUAUCAUUUGUCGAUAGGCAGAUGAUCAAAGAUUUAUCGGCAUAGGAGUGGCCUGUCUCCUAUCAGCUUGUCGGUGAGAUAAUGGCUCACCAAGGCAGCGACGGGUAGCGGGACUGAGAGGUUGACCCGCAACAUCGGGACUGAGACACUGCCCGGACCUCCACGGAGGGCUGCAGUAACGGAUAUUGUGCAAUGGGCGAAAGCCUGACACAGCGACGCCGCGUGUAGGAGGAAGUCUUUCGGGAUGUAAACUACUGUCAGGGGGAAGAAAGUGCGCUCCGGCGUAUUGAUCUAACCCAGAGGAAGUCACGGCUAACUUCGUGCCAGCAGCCGCGGUAAGACGAAGGUGGCAAGCGUUGUUCGGUAUUACUGGGCUUAAAGCGUGUGUAGGCGGAAAUGUAAGCGUUGCGUGAAAGCCCCCGGCUUAACCGGGGAACUGCGCAACGAACUGCGUUUCUUGAGGCAAGUAGGGGUGCAUGGAACUCUUGGUGGAGCGGUGGAAUGCGUAGAUAUCAAGAGGAACGCCAGUGGAGAAAUCGGUGCACUGGGCUUGUUCUGACGCUGAGACACGAAAGCGUGGGGAGCGAACGGGAUUAGAUACCACGGUAGUCCACGCCGUAAACGAUGCCUACUAGGUUGUGGUGGUUCUGACACCAGCACAGCCGAAGCAAAAGUGCUAAGUAGGCCGCCUGGGGAGUACGGUCGCAAGGCUAAAACUCAAAGGAAUUGACGGGGGCUCACACAAGCGGUGGAGCAUGUGGAUUAAUUCAACGCGUAGAACCUUACCUGGGUUUGACAUGCUUGGAUGCUUGCCUGGAAACAGGUUAAGUUACCUUCGGGUGAAACUUGCACAGGUGCUGCAUGGCUGUCGUCAGCUCGUGUCGUGAGAUGUCGGGUUAAGUCCUUUAACGAGCGAAACCCUUACCGUUAGUUGCCAGCGCGUUAUGGCGGGGACUCUAGCGGGACUGCCGGUGUUAAACCGGAGGAAGGCGGGGACGACGUCGAGUCAUCAUGGCCUUUAUGCCCAGGGCCUCACACGUGCUACAAUGGCGAUCACAAAGCGACGCAAGACCGCGAGGUGGAGCAAAUCGCAAAAAGGUCGCCCCAGUUCGGAUUGUAGGCUGGCAACUCGCCUGCAUGAAGUCGGAAUCGCUAGUAAUCGCGUAUCAGCUACGACGCGGUGAAUGUGUUCCUGAGCCUUGUACACACCGCCCGUCAAGUGAUGGGAGUUGGGAGUACCCGAAGUCGGUUUGCUAACCUAAUUUAUUAGGAAGCGGCUGCCGACGGUAAGCCCGAUGACUGGCACUAAGCCGUAACAAGGUA
rnacentral:rRNA from 1 species